rnacentral:rRNA from 1 species
CCUACGGGUGGCAGCAGUGGGGAAUAUUGCACAAUGGGGGAAACCCUGAUGCAGCGACGCCGCGUGAGUGAGGAAGUCUUUCGGUAUGGUAAGCUCUAUCAGCAGGGAAGAAAAUGACGGUACCUGACUAAGAAGCCCCGGCGAACUACGUGCCAGCAGCCGAGGUAACACGGAGGGGGCAAGCGUUAUACGGAUUUACUGGGUGUAAAGGGAGCGUAGACGGCUAAUCAAGUCAGAAGUGAAAACGCAGGGCUCAAACUUGGGACUGCUUUUGAAACUGAGUAGCUAGAGUGCAGGCGAGGUAAGCGGAAUUACUAGUGUAGCGGUGAAAUGCGUAGAUAUUAGGAGGAACACCAGUGGCGAAGGCGGCUUACUGGACUGUAACUGACGUUGAGGCUCGAAAGCGUGGGGAGCAAACAGGAUUAGAUACCCGUGUAGUC